rnacentral:rRNA from 1 species
GACGAACGCUGGCGGCGUGCUUAACACAUGCAAGUCGAACGGCAAGGCCCUGCUUUCGUGCGGUGCCCGAGUGGCGAACGGGUGAGUAACACGUGAGUAACCUGCCCUUGACUUUGGGAUAACUUCAGGAAACUGGGGCUAAUACCGGAUCGGAUCCCCUGCUGCAUGGUGGGGGUGGGAAAUUUUCGGCGGUAGGGGAUGGACUCGCGGCUUAUCGGCUAGUUGGUGGGGUAGUGGCUUACCAAGGCUUUGACGGGUAGGCGGCCUGAGAGGGUGACCGGCCACCUUGGGACUGAGAGACGGCCCAGACUCGUACGGGAGGCAGCAGUGGGGAAUAUUGCACAAUGGGCGCAAGUCUGAUGCAGCAACGCUGCGUGCGGGAUGACGGCCUUCGGGUUGUAAACCGCUUUCGCCUGUGACGAAGCGUGAGUGACGGUAAUGGGUAAAGAAGCACCGGCUAACUACGUG